AUUGAACGCUAGCGGGAUGCCUUACACAUGCAAGUCGAACGAGUGGCGAACGGGUGAGUAAUGUCUGGGAAACUGCCUGAUGGAGGGGGAUAACUCCUGGAAACGGUAGCUAAUACCGCAUACCAUCGGAUGUGCCCAGAUGGGAUUGGCUAGUAGGUGGGGUAACGGCUCACCUGGGCGACGAUCCCUAGCUGGGCUGAGAGGAUGACCAGCCACACUGGAACUGAGACACGGUCCAGACUCCUACGGGAGGCAGGAGUGGGGAAUAUUGCACAAUGGGCGCAAGCCGGAUGCAGCCAUGCCGCGUGUGUGAAGAAGGCCUUCGGGUUGUAAAGCACUUUCAGCGGGGAGGCGUUACCCGCAGAAGAAGCACCGGCUAACUCCGUGCCAGCAGCCGCGGUAAUAC
rnacentral:rRNA from 1 species